CAUGAGGUUAGAGUAGCUUCGUGUUAGAGAAAAGGGAUCAGACUCACUAACUGGAACUCUGUCCUCUGGUCUCCUGGUUUGGAUCUUAAAUGACUGAAGACACACAAGGGAGAAGAUGAUCUGCAGCAUCCUGCUGCUCAUCAUCCUGACCUCCUGUGUCUCUGGAACAUUUGUAGUGAAUGUGACCCAGACCUCCUAUCAGGCAGAGGAGAACCACGACAUCACACUGGAGUGGACCUUCACAACCAACCCUCACAGUUCCUCCAACUCUCUUAAUAUCUUCUGUGAACUGUUAACUGAUCUCAAGAAUCCAGUCCUGUUUCAUCUCCAUGAAGGAGUUGAGGUCCCAGAGUCUCAGGAUGAACAGUUUGCAGGACGAGUCCAGUGGGACAAAGACAUCCUCGGAGAAGGACGACUCAGACUUCAUGUGUCCAGACUCAGGACUGAAGACUCAGGACUGUACCUGUGUGAUAUUCUCACAGAUUAUGGGAGUAAGUCUGGUAGAUGUUGGCUCAAUGUUACUGCAGCGAGGGAUCGGCCUGAACCUGAGACACCAAACACAACAAGUCCACAACAACCAGAGAGUCGGGGAAGGAUCGGUCUCUACUGUGGACUGGGACUGACAGCAGCAGCAGUUCUGCUGGCGUUCUGUACUCACUUCUUAGUCUUACGUCUCUCACUUCUUAGUCUUACGUCUUUGUUUUACAAAAUCUACUGA
ensembl:lncRNA